rnacentral:piRNA from 1 species
ACUGUGUGUAUAAUUGGGAGGUCAAG